rnacentral:rRNA from 1 species
AGCGAACGCUGGCGGCAGGCUUAACACAUGCAAGUCGAGCGGGCGUAGCAAUACGUCAGCGGCAGACGGGUGAGUAACGCGUGGGAACGUACCUUUUGGUUCGGAACAACACAGGGAAACUUGUGCUAAUACCGGAUAAGCCCUUACGGGGAAAGAUUUAUCGCCGAAAGAUCGGCCCGCGUCUGAUUAGCUAGUUGGUGAGGUAACGGCUCACCAAGGCGACGAUCAGUAGCUGGUCUGAGAGGAUGAUCAGCCACAUUGGGACUGAGACACGGCCCAAACUCCUACGGGAGGCAGCAGUGGGGGAAUAUUGGACAAUGGGCGCGAAGCCUGAUCCAGCCAUGCCGCGUGAGUGAUGAAGG